rnacentral:misc_RNA from 1 species
UCCGGCUUAUCACCGGCAGUUUCUUUAGAGUGCUCAACUAAAUGGUAGCAACUAAAGACGAGGGUUGCGCUCGUUGCGGGACUUAACCCAACAUCUCACGACACGAGCUGACGACAGCCAUGCAGCACCUGUGUUACGGCUCUCUUUCGAGCACGCCUCGAUCUCUCGUGGCUUCCGUACAUGUCAAGGGUAGGUAAGGUUUUUCGCGUUGCAUCGAAUUAAUCCACAUCAUCCACCGCUUGUGCGGGUCCCCGUCAAUUUCUUUGAGUUUUAAUCUUGCGACCGUACUCCCCAGGCGGCGCAUUUAUCGCGUUAGCUUCGCCACAAAAGGGGUCGAUUCCUCUUACAGCACCUAGUACCCAUCGUUUACAGCUAGGACUAC